rnacentral:rRNA from 1 species
UACGUAGGGCGCAAGCGUUGUCCGGAAUUAUUGGGCGUAAAGAGCUCGUAGGCGGUUUGUCGCGUCGGCUGUGAAAACCUGGGGCUCAACCCCGGGCCUGCAGCCGAUACGGGCAAACGUAGAAUUCGGUAGGGGAGACUGGAAUUCCUGGUGUAGCGGUGAAAUGCGUAGAUAUCUGGAGGAACACCGGUGGCGAAGGCGGCAUCCUGGACCAACACUGACACUGAGGAGCGAAAGCCAGGGGAGCAAACGGG